CUUGAUGAAGUCCAGCAAGCCUUCCCUGAUGUUCCCAGGGAAAUCUGGCAGACUGGAACCACCUACGAAAACAUCAAUGAAGGAGAUCUAGAAAUAGAGGAGUUGUGACCUCCACCCUCCGCCGUUGAUCCACCGAUGUUCCAGGAUGGAUGAAGUUCUACUCCAUCUAAGGAAAUGGCCCUUUGUUUCUUCUUUCUAUAAAUUUUAUAAGUUAUAUAAAAUAGUUGAAUUUCAUCUGUUAUAAUUUCUGACUGCAUAGUAACUGUUGGCAUCUGUGUUUCUAGAUCACUGGAAGACCAGAACUCCCUACUGCUGAAGUUUCCCUUGUGGUUUGGAAGAUGGCACUGGGGCUGAAUAUGUUCUGGAACAGACGCCGACCAUAAUCGUUUUUAAUAUGCUGCAGCAGGCUGUGUAGCAGUUUGGAAUUCCAUACGGUGGCUGUAACUGACCUGCUUGCUUGGACCAUCACCCGUCUGGAUCAACAUCUCCCCAGGACAGAAGAACAACGAAACACAGAUGGAUGGACUUGAGUUUUUAAUGGCAGUGUUUUUUCUCCUAUCGAUGGGACAUUUAUAUGUCUCCAGCUAUAUGCCGCCAUUGAAGGCAAACACAAGGUAAAGAAGUUUAGUCAAGGGUGCUACCUUCAGACUUUCAAGAUUCCUUUAAUGUAGCCUUGCAAUAAGGUCGAAUUAGCACAUUUAGUCAUAUUUCCUCUCUCGUUUCCCUUGGAGGCCUGACAAAUAUCUGCAGGUUGUUUGAACUGUGUGUGUGUGUGUGUGUGUGUGUGUGUGUGUG